AAGGGAGACCUAAUUCCGGUAGGAGACGAAAAAAAAGUAGUCCCUACCAAGAAUCAAUCCCAAAAGGUCGGAGCGAGGCGAAAUUGGCUUUCAAACUAGGUUCUGGGUUCACACAAGACCUGAAUCAGGAACAAGGGCUAUUAGCUCAGGUGGUUAGAGCGCACCCCUGAUAAGGGUGAGGUCCCUGGUUCGAGUCCAGGAUGGCCCACCUGUACAGGUGGCAAAAAGAAAGAAAAGAAGCGAGGAAUCAGCACCUUAUCUUACUGACAUAGUAAGAGAGAAUGCUGGCUCUGAGUAAAGAGUCCAGAGGAACCUUGAAAACUGCAUAGAGCUAGGUGAAAAAGCCAAAAAAGAAGACCGCAA
rnacentral:tRNA from 1 species